rnacentral:misc_RNA from 1 species
AACGCACAUUGCGCCCUUUGGUAUUCCGAGGGGCAUGCCUGUUCGAGCGUCAUUUUAAAAUCUCAGGCCCUAGAAGGCUUGGUGUUGGGCUGUCAUAACCUCUUGCAUUGGGCUGGUUAUGUGCCUGAAAAUCAGUGGCAGUGCCUAGAAUGACCUCAAGCAUAGUGGACACUCUUGUGCUUGGAGGCUUCAUUAAGGAUUGCUUGCCUUUUAACUGCUUUUGACAAAGGUUUGACCUCGGAUCAGGUAGGGAUACCCGCUGAACUUAA